ensembl:lncRNA
GGAAAUCAUAGGUUAUUGAUUAAUUAAAUGAAAAGGCACAUUUAUUAAGAUGUAACAACGGGGUCUUGGGUGGUGACACAGUACCAUGAAGCUGGGUUGGCUUGCUCAGUACUGUCCCAGCAUGUGGUUCUGGAUCAGAGGAGCCAAACGGACCGGUCCGACAAAUACGAAACCUCUGUCUGUCUGUCAAAUGACUUGUUCCCAUCGUCUGAAGCCGAACUGUGCGUCUCCCUGAUUGUGGGAACAACAGUUGGCCUUCAUUCUGAUAUUGUACUGAUCUUGUCCGUUUACACUAGUAAGAUCUGAUCACACAAUCACAGUGCAUCUUUAAAUUGUCUACACAUCUCUAAACACGAGGAUUAGAAUGUGGACGGGAUCAGGAUAAACACGGUAGCACUGGGUGUGAACCGAGCCAAAGACCUUGUGGUGGGGUUGGAGCUGUACUUGGCUAUAUCCUGUGUUCCAGGUCAUACAAGGGUCACACUCUGGAAAUCACAAAAGUGAACCCAUAAAAUUAAUAAAUAGGGCAGUACGAUUUUGGUCGGUCCACCGUAUAGAAACACCUCAUUGGAUUUAGUACCUGCCUUUGUUACACUUACAGAUGUCUACAUCCCAUACUAUAGGAGUUGGUGUCACACUGAUAGACAUCCCCCUCCCAUACUAUAGAUGUCCCCUCACUUACUGUUGGUACUGGUGUUACAGUGAUAGAUGUCCCCCUACCAUAAUGUAAAUACUGGGUGUUACAGUGAUAGAUGUCCCCUCCCAUAAUGUAGGUACUGAUGUUAUGCUGAUUGACAUCCCCUCCCAUACUGUAGGUACUGGUGUUAUACAGAUAGAUGUCCCCUCCCAUACUGUAGGUAUUGGUGUUACAAUGAUAGUUGUCCCCUCCCGUAUUGUAGGUAUUGGUGUUACACUGAUAUAAGCCCCCACCAAACUGUAGGUACUGGUUUUACACUGAUAGAUGUCCCCGUCUUGUACUUUAGGUACUGGUGUUACACUGAUAGACGUCCCUCUCAUACACUGUACAGUUGUUUCCACAGAGUGUUUUUAGUAGAAGGAGGUUUCCUCCAAUCGUCUGUGUCCCUUUGGAUUACUUCCUGGACAGCAGGAUUAUCAUAGCAGCUUGGAGACUCGGCACUUUCGUCUGCCAUUGCAUGAUCUUUUGUGGACGUAACAUAACAUAUAGCAAAGUUACGCAGUCCUUUAGUUCAGAAUUUCCACGAUUAAGCCAAUACAAAAUGUAUGUGUCAACUUAACGUCUUAAAUAACUCACCUGUCUGUAGGGUUAACUACCACAAACCUGUCUGCAAAGUUAACUGUCACACACUUCUCCGUAGGGUUAACUACCACACACUUGUUGGUUGGGUUAAUUAUCAACACCUGUCUGUAGAGUG